CAUUUGUAGAGUGUUCCGGACGGGCGAACAUGUCAGUAGAGAUAUACUACAAGAACAAUGUUUGAAGCAGGGACUUCAAUUAGAAGUAAAAACCCAUCGCAAUUAUUGGGGACUAAUCUACAAGUAUAGAUAUUUAUCCCGGAACGCAAUGCUCCUUCAUAAUGUUGAGAAUGCCAGAACACGGAAGAAGCAUCAACAAAGGAAUGGGACAGAGGAAAACAUUGAAAUGCUGGACAAAUUACCUGAGAGACACACCUGUCUAGAAGUUGGUAGCACCCUAAAACCCACAGACUCAUGGACUAAUUUGGUUAAAUGUGGAGUAACCCCUAUUGUACAGGGUUCGCUGAUGGCUGCUUUUGGGGACAACAGGGUAGCCAACCGGCAGACUUCAGUAGGCAAAAAGCUGGUUGCGGCUGCUUUAAGUGAACGAUGGGAGGUGGACAGCGGGUUCUUUUCUGAGGCCAGCCCACCAGCUAGUGGACACCGUUCUUCCUGCCAAAACAUGUGCCCGACCAAUGUGGUGGCAAUAGACUGUGAGAUGGUUGGCACUGGGCUAGGUGGGCGCACUAGUGAAUUGGCACGCUGUAGCUUGGUGGAUUACCAUGGCAACGUCCUGUACGAUAAGUACAUCCGUCCGUGCCAGCCUGUGACCGACUACAGGACCCGUUGGAGUGGCAUCCAGAGGCACCAUUUACAGAACGCUCUGCCCUACCUAGAGGCUAGGACCGAGAUACUACAAAUACUGGAGGGGAAAGUAGUGAUUGGCCACGCUCUGUAUAACGACUUCCUGGCCUUAGACUUGACACACCCAGGUCACAUGAUCAGGGACACCAGUGGCACACGUCUGCUCAGACAACUGGCUGGCUUCUCCACAAAGCGCUGCGUCUCACUCAAGAUCCUGACAAACGGCCUCCUAAACAGGAAAAUACAGGUUGGAAGAAAGGGCCACAGUUCAGUGGAGGAUGCUCUGGCUUCUUUGGACCUGUAUAAACUAGUGGAGAGGGAGUGGGAACAGGACAUGCGAGACAGAAUGAGGGACUGGGACAUAGGCACUCUAUCAGACCCCGCUACCUCAAACCACUACAUGCAGGACCAAUACUGGCCAGAGGACUUGACUGAGGACAGUCGGUGAGAAGGCUGGAGGACAGUUGGCUGGAGGGCAGUCGGUGAGAAGGCUGGAGGGCAGUCGGUGAGAAGGCUGGAGGGCAGUCGGUGAGAAGGCUGGAGGACAGUUGGCUGGAGGGCAGUCUGUGAGAAGGCUGGAGGGCAGUCUGUGAGAAGGCUGGAGGGCAGUCGGUGAGAAGGCUGGAGGGCAGUCGGUGAGAAGGCUGGAGGGCAGUCGGUGAGAAGGCUGGAGGGCAGUCGGUGAGAAGGCUGGAGGGCAGUCGGUGAGAAGGCUGGAGGGCAGUCGGGGAGAAGGCUGGAGGGCAGUCGGUGAGGAUAGUACUAGGCCCAAGGGUAAUGAGUCAAAUGAUUAAAGUUGCCAAGCCUGGCAGUAUGGUUUCGUCAGUAACAAGUGUUUUUCUGACCCUGGGAAUCAAACCCACAACCCUGGCAUUGCAAGCACCAUGCUGUACCAAACCAUACAGAACCAGUGGGUCAUUGCAACAAAGGCCUGGGGUACAGUCAAGUGGUUCAACGUCAAAAAAUGGGUACGUUUUCAUUUGAAUUUUAAAAAUGAGUGGUCUUAACAAUGCUCUACCUACAUAGCCCCAGUCGCAGCUGAAUUAAUUUUGCCGUGCGAAUUAAAAUGGACACGCGUGCGUCAACUUUUAUGCCCACAAAUGCACAACUCCUCCCAGUUUGAAUGUGUGCAACGGACAAGCAGGUGGUUGCACACCUUUUGCUAAAAAUGUAUGUUAUUGAUGGUUUUUGCACUUGAAACUGAAAUAUGUUGGUAAAAUGUAAGCUAUGCAUCUUAUCCUCUCACAAGGUUGUCUAUGGUAAGUACAUGUAUAAGGAAAUUAGCUUUAUGAGGAACUGUUCAUCUCUCAAUGAUUUGAAGUGGGAGGAAUUAAGAAGUAGGCUUGAUGAUAAUUGGGAAUUACAGCCUGUGUUGAGAUUGACGUAACUUGCAGAUACUAGUGCUAAUCAGAUAUGAAACGUUGUAACUUUAACGUGGUUUGAAAGUAUCAAACAGCAUAUUGUGUUGUGAAAAGUUUGAAGUUGUGAUUUGAAUAAUCAUGUGGCAGACACAAUUGUGUUGAUUUUGUGGAAAGAAAUGUUGGUGUUGAAUUUGAGUUAAAUGGCUGCUGUUAAACAAUGCCUUUAACUUUAAAUGCACAUGCAAUGUUCUGGACUUAGGUUUAAAGCAAGGUGAAAUCAUGGUUCUGUCUGGACGUACUCUCAGUCCAAAACAAUGGAGGCUGUUGAGGGGAGGACGGCUCAUAUUAAUGGCUGGAAUGGCAUCAAAAACAUGGAAACCAUGUGUUUGACAUAUUUUUGAUACCAUUCCGCUCCAGCCAUUACUACAAGCCGGUCCUCCCAAUUAAGGUGCCACCAACCUCCUGUGGUCCUAAAUGACUUUCUUGAAGAGGUUGUUAAGCAGAACGUUUUCUCUUGUACUUUUAGAGUUGAUGCUGUAUAACUUAUUAAAGUUAGUGAACAAUA